rnacentral:rRNA from 1 species
GACAAACGCUGGCGGCGUGCCUAACACAUGCAAGUCUGACGGGAAAGUCUCCUUCGGGAGACGAGUACAGUGGCGGACGGGUGAGUAACGCGUGGGAAUCUACCCGGUAGUGGGGGAUAACCCUUCGAAAGGGGGGCUAAUACCGCAUAAGUCCUACGGGGUAAAGAUGGCCUCUUUACAAUGCUAUCGCUUCCGGAUGAGCCCGCGUCCUAUUAGCUAGUUGGUGAGGUAAUGGCUUACCAAGGCCACGAUGGGUAGCCGGUCUGAGAGGAUGAACGGCCACACUGGGACUGAGAUACGGCCCAGACUCCUACGGGAGGCAGCAGUGGGGAAUCUUGCGCAAUGGGGGAAACCCUGACGCAGCAACGCCGCGUGGAUGAUGAAGGCCUUCGGUCGUAAGUACCUGUUCUGGGGAAGGAACGUGUAAGAGGGCGUAAUACCCUCUUACCUUGUACGGUACCCCACGCCAGAAAGACUACCGGCCGAACUUAUAGUGCCAGCAGCCGCGGUAAGGCUCGUCUCUA